AGGGGUGUAGCUCCAACGGCAGAGCGCCGGUCUCCAAAACCGGAUGUUGUGGGUUCGAAUCCCGCCACCCCUGCGA
rnacentral:tRNA from 1 species